UACGUAGGGUGCAAGCGUUUAUCGGAAUUACUGGGCGUAAAGCGUGCUCAGGCGGUGAUGUUAGUCAGAUGUGAAAUCCCCGGGCUCAACCUGGGAACUGCAUUUGUGACUGCAUCGCUGGAGUGCGGCAGAGGGGGAUGGAAUUCCGCGUGUAGCAGUGAAAUGCGUAGAUAUGCGGAGGAACACCGAUGGCGAAGGCAAUCCCCUGGGCCUGCACUGACGCUCAUGCACGAAAGCGUGGGGAGCAAACAGG
rnacentral:rRNA from 1 species